rnacentral:piRNA from 1 species
UUAUCGUGUUAUUGUGAUAUU